AUUUAGCACCAAGCCAGCCUGAGAGACUCAGGCUGGGUGGCAGCUCAACCUCUUCUUUCUCAGUGAGACUCAGGACCAUGCAGAGUAUGAUCCCUUAUGUCUGGUCUUUAAUUGCAAUGAUUUUCUAGGGUGCCUGUACUCCUUGCUGCACUUAUGGAGGAUUUAUCCUCUUCAGACGUACUGGCACUGAAUCCCACCAUCCCCAGUAGUGCUCUGAGGUUUAUGGUGGUGACUGACAGUAAUUUGUGGUGGAAAAUUCCAUCUUGCAGCAAAGAUCUACUCAGAAAUGCUCUGUAGAGGAAUCAGAAAUGCUCUGCAGAGGGACCAGAAAAUGCUGAGUGGAGCAGGCAGGUGAGGGCAGGUGAAAAGGAAAGGGAUAACUCAAAAGGAUGUCUCUUUGUCAGACUCUAUACCCUGUCACCAGCAACAAGGAGAGAUGAAAGUCUGGCAUCAACAAAGUCUCAACAGAGCUGUGGCUGGGAAUCUUUCCAGCUCAGUGGAAGAGAGGAACUCCUGACCCUUGUGUCCUAUCUGGAAAUCUCCCACGGAGACCACGGUGUUGAGUUCAGAAGCAAGUACCAGACGGAGGACCUUUUCCCCCCAAGGAGGUAAAACAAUCAGACAUCUUUUCAAGAAGUAUGAACUGCCAAGAGAUGAAAUGGUGACAAAUUUCACCCCGGAACCCUGAGAAAAUUAAUAAAGGUUAAUGAAGCUUCA